rnacentral:rRNA from 1 species
GAGUUCAACAGACUCCCAAACCCCCUGUGAACAUAUACCAUUGCCGUUGCCUCGGCGGGAUGACGCCCUGUAGUCUGACUCCGGACGCCCGCCGGCGCCCCAAAACUCUUGUACUGUUUUCUUUUCCGGCAUGUCUGAGUCUAUUCAUACAAAAUGAAUCAAAACUUUCAACAACGGAUCUCUUGGUUCUGGCAUCGAUGAAGAACGCAGCGAAAUGCGAUAAGUAAUGUGAAUUGCAGAAUUCAGUGAAUCAUCGAAUCUUUGAACGCACAUUGCGCCCGCCAGUAUUCUGGCGGGCAUGCCUGUUCGAGCGUCAUUUCAACCCUCAAGCCCCAGCGGCUUGGUGUUGGGGACCGGCGAGUCUUCGCAUCGUCCCGGCGGGAAACCCGAGGCACUGACGGGGCACAUCGACGGCGUCGGCAACUUGCUUGCCGCGUCCUCCUCGCGCCCUGCAACCAGGCCUCUCCACCUCCCCCGGGCAGGCGUUCUCCCCGCCGCCCCCGAAAUGAAUUGGCGGUCUCGCCGCGGCCUCCUCUGCGUAGUAGAACAACCUCGCAGCGGGAGCGCGGCGCGGCCACUGCCGUAAAACGCCCGACCUUCUCUCAGAGUUGG